GUAAAUAUAGNNUAAAAAAACCAUUAGUUUGUGANACUAAAAAUAGAAGAUAAAGCCUUCUUAUUUACC
rnacentral:tRNA from 1 species